CAUCCAAAAAAUAUACAAAUAUUCAAGAGCAAUCCUAACAUCCAGAAGUAUCAUCAUGCAAAAAUUCAGAUCAUUUGACAUUUAUUUGGCAUGGUAAAUAAAAUCUCAAACAAAUUGGAAAUGCAUCCAAAAAAUAUACAAAUAUUCAAGAGCAAUCCUAACAUCCAGAAGUAUCAUCAUGCAAAAAUUCAGAUCAUUUGACAUUUAUUUGGCAUGGUAAAUAAAAUCAGCAAAUUGG
rnacentral:lncRNA from 1 species